GACGUAGGUGGCGAACGUUAUCCGGAAUUAUUGGGCGUAAAGGAUGCGUAGAUGGUUUAGUAAGUUAUCGGUGGCAAAUCGAGGCUCAACCUCGUGGAAGUCGGUAAUACUGCUAUGCUAGAGGAUAGGAGAGGUUAACGGAACUCCCUGUGGAGCGGUGAAAUGCGUAGAUAUAGGGAAGAACACCAAUUAGGCGAAGGCAGUUAACUAUUCUAUUCCUGACAUUGAGGCAUGAAAGCGUGGGGAGCAAAACGG
rnacentral:rRNA from 1 species